GAUGAACGCUGGCGGCGUGCCUAAUACAUGCAAGUCGAGCGAACAGACGAGGAGCUUGCUCCUCUGACGUUAGCGGCGGACGGGUGAGUAACACGUGGAUAACCUACCUAUAAGACUGGGAUAACUUCGGGAAACCGGAGCUAAUACCGGAUAAUAUAUUGAACCGCAUGGUUCAAUAGUGAAAGACGGUUUUGCUGUCACUUAUAGAUGGAUCCGCGCCGCAUUAGCUAGUUGGUAAGGUAACGGCUUACCAAGGCAACGAUGCGUAGCCGACCUGAGAGGGUGAUCGGCCACACUGGAACUGAGACACGGUCGAGACUCCUACGGGAGGCAGCAGUAGGGAAUCUUCCGCAAUGGGCGAAAGCCUGACGGAGCAACGCCGCGUGAGUGAUGAAGGUCUUCGGAUCGUAAAACUCUGUUAUUAGGGAAGAACAAAUGUGUAAGUAACCAUGCACGUCUUGACGGUACCUAAUCAGAAAGCCACGGCUAACUACGUG
rnacentral:rRNA from 1 species